rnacentral:rRNA from 1 species
UCCGGUCUUUGGAGCGUUGUCGUACCACCUCUUCCCAUACCGAACAGAGUCGUGAAAGGCAGCAGCGGGGACGAUACUAGUCGGGCAACUGGCUAUGAAAAUACCUCAAGGCCGGAU